rnacentral:rRNA from 1 species
GAUGAACGCUGGCGGCGUGCCUAAUACAUGCAAGUCGAGCGAAUGGAUUGAGAGCUUGCUCUUAUGAAGUUAGCGGCGGACGGGUGAGUAACACGUGGGUAACCUGCCCAUAAGACUGGGAUAACUCCGGGAAACCGGGGCUAAUACCGGAUAACAUUUUGAACCGCAUGGUUCGAAAUUGAAAGGCGGCUUCGGCUGUCACUUAUGGAUGGACCCGCGUCGCAUUAGCUAGUUGGUGAGGUAACGGCUCACCAAGGCAACGAUGCGUAGCCGACCUGAGAGGGUGAUCGGCCACACUGGGACUGAGACACGGCCCAGACUCCUACGGGAGGCAGCAGUAGGGAAUCUUCCGCAAUGGACGAAAGUCUGACGGAGCAACGCCGCGUGAGUGAUGAAGGCUUUCGGGUCGUAAAACUCUGUUGUUAGGGAAGAACAAGUGCUAGUUGAAUAAGCUGGCACCUUGACGGUACCUAACCAGAAAGCCACGGCUAACUACGUGCCAGCAGCCGCGGUAA